rnacentral:rRNA from 1 species
GUGGGGAAUUUUGGACAAUGGGCGCAAGCCUGAUCCAGCAAUGCCGCGUGCAGGAAGAAGGCCUUCGGGUUGUAAACUGCUUUUGUACGGAACGAAACGGUCCUGGUUAAUACCUGGGGCUAAUGACGGUACCGUAAGAAUAAGCACCGGCUAACUACGGGCCAGCAGCCGCGGUAAUACGUAGGGUGCGAGCGUUAAUCGGAAUUAUGGGGCGUAAAGCGUGCGCAGGCAGUGCUGGAGUACGGCAGAGGGGGAUGGAAGUCCGCGUGUAGCAGUGAAAUGCGUAGAUAUGCGGAGGAACACCGAUGGCGAAGGCAGUCCCCUGGGCCUGUACUGACGCUCAUGCACGAAAGCGUGGGGAGCAAACAGGAUUAGAUACCCCGGUAGUCC